CAAAUUUGUAUCCAAACUUGCCAACAUGGAUCAAAAGGCAAAAACAAGAGAAAAUCAUAUAUCAUUACACAAAUUUCUGUUACAUUUUGGAAUUUCCAAUUACAAAACCCUGAGCCCCAAACCUAAUCGAAAACUUCCUAAUCAUAAUCAUCAACUUAAUUCCUAGACCUAAUUUCCCACCUAUUUAAAUCCUAAAAUUCUACAAGAAAAGGACAAGGAAAAGAUUACCACAAAAGCCACACCAUUUCUUCCCCUUACGUGAGUUCUACCAAGCAAAUUCACAAUCGAUCUUUUGUAGGUACCUGCGUUGUGGAUCUCUCUACGAUUGAGGUUGAAUUUUAUUUCUCUUUUUUUCUUCUCUCUCAUGUUAAUUUUCUUUUUCUUUCUGUGUAUAUAUUAUGUUCUGUUCUUAUUCUUUUUUCUACUGCUAAAUGCAAGAGGUGGUUUUUGUCUCUGUGUUAUUGUAUUAUUUUUAGUAUUAUGAUCAUUAUUCCCUUUUUUAGAUGCUC
rnacentral:lncRNA from 1 species